rnacentral:rRNA from 1 species
AACGAACGCUGGCGGCAUGCCUAACACAUGCAAGUCGAACGAGACCUUCGGGUCUAGUGGCGCACGGGUGCGUAACGCGUGGGAACCUGCCCUUAGGUUCGGAAUAACUCCCCGAAAGGGGUGCUAAUACCGGAUAAUGUCUUCGGACCAAAGAUUUAUCGCCUUUGGAUGGGCCCGCGUUGGAUUAGCUAGUUGGUAGGGUAAAAGCCUACCAAGGCGACGAUCCAUAGCUGGUCUGAGAGGAUGAUCAGCCACACUGGGACUGAGACACGGCCCAGACUCCUACGGGAAGCAGCAAUGGGGAAUAUUGGACAAUGGGCGAAAGCCUGAUCCAGCAAUGCCGCGUGAGUGAUGAAGGCCUUAGGGUUGUAAAGCUCUUUUACCCGGGAUGAAAAUGACAGUACCGGGAGAAUAAGCUCCGGCUAACUCCGUG